rnacentral:snoRNA from 1 species
AACUUCCAGAUUCCUUACCCCUCUAAGCUAAACAUGGGACCGAGUGGCUGAAAAAGGACGAUAAGUAAAACUGAAGUGCAUUUGGAGUCUUUCUUGACAUAUAAGUUCAUUUCAAGCAUCU